CUGAUUCAAGUGAAGAUGUUCAGAAGACAAAAUCAAACAUUAUAAGUGAGUCAAAUAUCUAACUUGGAUCAACAAUACACAAAAUAGUGACCACAAAAGGCCACUUGAGACAUAUUAGUCCACAAUCCAUGCAUUUGAGCGCAUCUCUGUAAAUAUAUUCAGCAAAAACACACACAGACGCUGUCGCCCACACAGAGUCACAGGCUCCAGGAGCCAAGCAGCAAUCAUUCUACAGCGUCCAUUAGCAUAAAAACACAGAAGACAUUUUGUAGAUGUUACACCAGAAUCAUUUGCGAAAACAGUCUAGAUAUUAACUAAUUUAACUAGUACUACAGCUGCUCAUCCCGCAUGUAAGGUGGAUCUGAACGUACAGUAAGUCUGCAAUUAAAAAAAAAAAAAGUCUUGUUUUAGUCACAAUAUCUACAAAUUCUGAAAUUAACAAGAUCAUUUCACUUACCCCACUGGCCAAAAAUGUUACUUAUUUUAAGCAAAUAAUAAGUUUUUUGUUUGUUCUCCUACAAACAAGACUAAACCGAAGUCAUCUAAUUAACACUAAAAACUAAAUAUUAUUGAUAAGUCUAAGUCUUAUUGAUUUUAUAAAAUAGUUUCUACACAUUUAAAAUAUCAAGAGCAUUAUUGAUGAAAACCUGAUUCACUAAAUCAGGUUCUCUGUAUCUGCCACCUGUAUUUGAAUAAUGUUAUAAUUCACUUCUUGUAUAUGAAGAGUUUCUUCAGAACAUGACACUCCUUUGUUUCUCAAUGAAUGGCUCCUCUGACCUUCCCAUUGAGAAAAAAGCACAAUAAGCUCCACCCCUUUGACGUGAUAGGUAAGAGGGAAGAGGCACCGCCCACCUGAGCUCCCGCCUCUCUUUAAAGGGGUCGGACCGGCAACAUGUGACUUGACUACAGUGUGGGAGUAAAAGGGGAGAGAAGACGAGAUCAGGACAGGAAUGAGGGAAACUGGAGGAGAGCAACGAAAGAAGGAGAGGUGGAGAUAUCAUGAAGGCAGACGACAGUUUUCUUCUGGAUUAAUCAGUGCUACCCGACAGACAAUAACACUCCAGAGCAGAUUCACUGGGAAAGAAGAGAAAGAACAUGUGAAGUGGAAACCAGGUUGAUUGUGAGUGUUUGCUGACUCAAGAUAGCCAGCGAGGAACAGGUUUGGGAUAGGAAGACAGGAAGAAGAGAAAUGAGAGUGAAGCGAGGAACAGAAAAAGGCCAUUUUACUGUCAUUUUCACGGACGAGAAAGAGCAUCUGAUACCUUCCUCACACGCUGCGCAGGUCCAUUCAAAGAUGAAAUAUCAGCUUCCCAGCAGACGUUUAGCUGAAGGAUCUCAGCCAUCAUCAGUCACUCAUGUGUUUGUCCAUCAAGAGAAACUUCAGCAAUCGUAUGAAUCAAGAGCUGGGGCCUGUACCAUGAAGUCCUUGUAGCUGGCUAGCCAGGUAAGUUAAGAGUUUAGCUUGCACUAACUAGGUUUCAGGUAAAUUGGUUUGACUUUUAGCAGCAUUCAUCUCCAUAUUAAUCAGCUUCAAGCAAAGUGACAUCUCUGAUGCUAUAAAGCCACUCCAGCUUCAGUUAUUCUAAAUGAAAGGAUGCUACAUAGUGAAACAUUAAGAUAAAAUCAUCCCUUUGAUUAUUUUUAAUCAUUAUUUUAUAUUAUUUAUAUAAUUAUUUUCACCUUAAUCCAUUACAAAAACCAGCCUUUAGUGAAUCAUCUCUAAACCCUGAAGUUCAUACCGAUGAUUCACAUCAUUUAAUUUGCCAAUGUUUUAUGCCGAAUGCCGUUCCUGACGCAACCCUCUCUCUGUGUCUGGGCUUGAGACCCUAUGGACUAAAAACCAGCUUACUUUAAUACUAAUUACACUUUUAUUUUCAGUCAAUAUAAACAUAUAGAUAAUACACAAUGUAAGUCUUAGAAUCAUGUAAACAUGACCACCUGAGUUUAGUUAUUUAAGUGUUUUACAUAAAUAGUUUUAGUCUUAUACACAUAUAUAGAGUACAACUUACUUGCACUUACAUGGCAAGAUAUUUUUUUUAAAUUUUUCUCUUUCAUUGAUAGAUCGUUUCAUCUUGCUGUGAAAUUCUUCAUAUUGUUCAUCCUUUUAAUCUUUGAUAGUGAAUGGAGCUGACUCUAACGAGAAGUGAAUCACGGUUUCAAGGCUUGUGAUUGGCUGCUUAUUACUGAUGUCACACGUUCAUGUACAUGCGCUCCGUCCUGAGAAAGCUGAUGACUAAACUAAUCCUGUAAGCCUGAAUUUGUUCAUCUGCCAUCAUGGUACAGGCCCCAGUUCUGUCCUGCAGUCUGAAAUACUGAACUCUACAAUCUAGAAACCAUUUUAAAUAAGCAACUAAUUCUCACAUAAUUAAUGUGUUCAUUUUAAUUGAGAGACACCCAAAAUAAUUAAACUCUUCAAUAAAUGACAAAACAUGU